UACAGGGGUCUCAACCGUUGUUCGGAUUCAUUGGGCGCAAAGGGUGCGUAGGCGGCGGGGUAAGUCAGGUGUGAAAUCUCGGGGCUCAACCCCGAAACUGCACUUGAUACUGCCUCGCAUGAGUACUGGAGAGGAGACUGGAAUUUACGGUGUAGCAGUGAAAUGCGUAGAUAUCGUAAGGAAGACCAGUGGCGAAGGCGAGUCUCUGGACAGUUACUGACGCUGAGGCACGAAGGCCAGGGGAGCAAACGGG
rnacentral:rRNA from 1 species